rnacentral:rRNA from 2 species
GCGGAGGAAAAGAAACCAACAGGGAUUGCCUCAGUAACGGCGAGUGAAGCGGCAAGAGCUCAACUUUGGAAUCGCUGCGGCGAGUUGUAGUCUGGAGGUGGCCGGUCCCGGCGCCAGCGCGCAGCCAAGUCCUUUGGAACAAGGCGCCUGAGAGGGUGACAGCCCCGUGGCAGUUUGUGCUGGUGCCGCCUCGGCCCACCGACGAGUCGAGUUGUUUGGGAAUGCAGCUCUAAGUGGGUGGUAAAUUCCAUCUAAAGCUAAAUACCGGCGAGAGACCGAUAGCGAACAAGUACAGUAAUGGAAAGAUGAAAAGCACUUUGAAAAGAGAGUGAAACAGUACGUGAAAUUGUUGAAAGGGAAGGGCUUGCACCCAGACACGGCCUUCUGGCCGGGCCAGCAUCGGGUGGGAGGGAGCGACAACGAGCAGUCGAUGUAGUACAGCCCUCUGGGCUGUGCAUUAUACGUCUUGCUUUCUGGCUCCUCUCCCGCCCGAGGACCGCAGCAAUAAGGAUGCUGGCGCAAUGGUUGCAAGCCACCCGUCUUG